rnacentral:rRNA from 2 species
AGGUGCGAUCAUACCAGCACUAAUGGACUGGAUCCCAUCAGAACUCCGCAGUUAAGCGCGCUUGGCGGGAGUAGUACUACGAUGUGUGACCUCUUGGGAAGUCCUCGUGUUGCACCUC